CUGACUGUGCUAAGGUAGCAUAAUAAUUUGCAGAUUAAUUGUCUGCUAGAAUGAAUGGUUUGACGAAAAAUAAUCUUUCUUCUACAAAAUUUAAAUUAAUUUAUAAAUUAAAAAGUUUAUAUUUCUUAGAGUGACGACAAGACCCUAAAACCUUUAUAAACUAUUCGUUAUUUUGCUGGGGCGGCAAAUUAUAUUUCAUAAUUUAUUAAAACACUUUAAGUGAGUUAAACUUACUAAAAUUAUAGUCAAAAAGGUACUUUAGGGAUAACAGUAUAAUUUUUAUUUAGAGUAACUUAUCGACAUAAAAGAUUAUAACCUCGAUGUUGAAUUGAUAUAUCUUUAUUAAGCAGCCAUAAUACUAGAAAGUCUGUUCGACUUAUAAAGUAUCACGUGAUCUGAGUUCAGACCGGA
rnacentral:rRNA from 1 species